rnacentral:rRNA from 1 species
GCGGCGUGCCUAACACAUGCAAGUCGAGCGAUUCUCUUCGGAGAAGAGCGGCGGACGGGUGAGUAACGCGUGGGUAACCUGCCCUGUACACACGGAUAACAUACCGAAAGGUAUGCUAAUACGAGAUAAUAUGCUUUUAUCGCAUGGUAGAAGUAUCAAAGCUUUUGCGGUACAGGAUGGACCCGCGUCUGAUUAGCUAGUUGGUAAGGUAACGGCUUACCAAGGCGACGAUCAGUAGCCGACCUGAGAGGGUGAUCGGCCACAUUGGAACUGAGACACGGUCCAAACUCCUACGGGAGGCAGCAGUGGGGAAUAUUGCACAAUGGGCGAAAGCCUGAUGCAGCAACGCCGCGUGAGCGAUGAAGGCCUUCGGGUCGUAAAGCUCUGUCCUCAAGGAAGAUAAUGACGGUACUUGAGGAGGAAGCCCCGGCUAACUACGUGCCAGCAGCCGCGGUAAUACGUAGGGGGCUAGCGUUAUCCGGAAUUACUGGGCGUAAAGGGUGCGUAGGUGGUUUCUUAAGUCAGAGGUGAAAGGCUACGGCUCAACCGUAGUAAGCCUUUGAAACUGGGAAACUUGAGUGCAGGAGAGGAGAGUGGAAUUCCUAGUGUAGCGGUGAAAUGCCUAGAUAUUAGGAGGAACACCAGUUGCGAAGGCGGCUCUCUGGACUGGAACUUGACCCUGAGGCACAAAAGCGUGGGGAGCAAACAGGAUUAGAUACCCCUGGUAGUCCACGCCGUAAACGAUGAGUACUAGCUGUCGGAGGUUACCCCCCUUCGGUGGCGCAGCUAACGCAUUAAGUACUCCGCCUGGGAAGUACGCUCGCAAGAGUGAAACUCAAAGGAAUUGACGGGGACCCGCACAAGUAGCGGAGCAUGUGGUUUAAUUCGAAGCAACGCGAAGAGCCUUACCUAAGCUUGACAUCCUUUUGACCGAUGCCUAAUCGCAUCUUUCCCUUUGGGGACAGAAGUGACAGGUGGUGCAUGGUUGUCGUCAGCUCGUGUCGUGAGAUGUUGGGUUAAGUCCCGCAACGAGCGCAACCCUUGCCUUUAGUUGCCAGCAUUAAGUUGGGCACUCUAGAGGGACUGCCAGGGAUAACCUGGAGGAAGGUGGGGAUGACGUCAAAUCAUCAUGCCCCUUAUGCUUAGGGCUACACACGUGCUACAAUGGGUGGUACAGAGGGCAGCCAAGUCGUGAGGCGGAGCUAAUCCCUUAAAGCCAUUCUCAGUUCGGAUUGUAGGCUGAAACUCGCCUACAUGAAGCUGGAGUUACUAGUAAUCGCAGAUCAGAAUGCUGCGGUGAAUGCGUUCCCGGGUCUUGUACACACCGCCCGUCACACCACGGGAGUUGGGGGCGCCCGAAGCCGGAUUGCUAACCUUUUGGAAGCGUCCGUCGAAGGUGAAAUCAAUAACUGGGGUGAAGUCG